rnacentral:rRNA from 1 species
CCUACGGGAGGCAGCAGUGGGGAAUAUUGCACAAUGGGCGAAAGCCUGAUGCAGCGACGCCGCGUGAGGGAUGACGGCCUUCGGGUUGUAAACCUCUUUCAGCAGGGAAGAAGCGAGAGUGACGGUACCUGCAGAAGAAGCGCCGGCUAACUACGUGCCAGCAGCCGCGGUAAUACGUAGGGCGCAAGCGUUGUCCGGAAUUAUUGGGCGUAAAGAGCUCGUAGGCGGCUUGUUGCGUCGGUUGUGAAAGCCCGGGGCUUAACCCCGGGUCUGCAGUCGAUACGGGCAGGCUAGAGUGUGGUAGGGGAGAUCGGAAUUCCUGGUGUAGCGGUGAAAUGCGCAGAUAUCAGGAGGAACACCGGUGGCGAAGGCGGAUCUCUGGGCCAUUACUGACGCUGAGGAGCGAAAGCGUGGGGAGCGAACAGGAUUAGAUACCCUGGUAGUCCACGCCGUAAACGUUGGGAACUAGGUGUUGGCGACAUUCCACGUCGUCGGUGCCGCAGCUAACGCAUUAAGUUCCCGCCUGGGGAGUACGGCCGCAAGGCUAAAACUCAAAGGAAUUGACGG